UAAAAAGAUGGCAGAUGCAGCAAUAGUUAAGCUAAAAUGUUCCAACUUUUGGUUGGACAACAAAUUUCAAAAAUUUAAGAAAUAUAUUACUAAUUAUUGGUUACAAAUUAAAGAAAAAUGGAUAUGGUAUCGUCAGGAUAGAUGGUAUGGUAUCCUCAGGAUAGAUUUUUAGUAAACCUUUAUACCAACAAUGGAAUUGAAAGGCAACAUGAAUCUUUUAAUUAUUCAUAUCUUCAAAGACAUAAAAAUUCAUCAAUUACUGGAAUGCUUACUCUUUUAAUAGAAGAGUUUUUUGCAAAUAAAUUUGAGAAAUAUUCAGAAUCUAAUUACAAAAUAGAUUGUCGAUUUAAACAAUACAAUUCUAAUGUACCUGAAUACUUGAUAAAUAGGCCACACCAUUUUAUUAAACAUUGUUUAGCGAAGCAAAAUUUGGCUAACAACACUGAUCUAAAUAAAGUGCAAAUGAAAGAUCCUGGAGUAUUUGUAGUCAAUAGCUUUUCUAUUGCAAACAAAAAUUACCUUGUUAACUUUGGCGAUGAGAAGAACAUGCCAAAAUGUUCAACCAUGUUGAACAUUUUGGCAUGUUUGCAUUACAAAUGUGUAACCAUGUGAAUCAUAAUAGUUUCAACUUAAUUAAUGACACUAUUUGCAGUACAACAACGAUAAAUCCAUACAGAGAUAUUACAAGAAAAAGAAGUUCUACAGCCUCUGAAUUCUGUGAAAUGCUAGCAACCAUAAAAAAUUUAACAUUUGAUUUUGAUGAAUCAUCAGAAAAACUAUCUGAUCUACAUGAAACACUUUCAAAUGUACUUAAAAAGCUUUAUCAAGCAAGAAAAAAAGAGAAAGGUCUACCAUUAAGCUCAGGUUAUGGUAUGCCUGAAUAUGUACACAAAAAACAAAAAAAUAUAGUUGAUUUACCUGUUGUUAAAAAAAAUUUGUA
rnacentral:lncRNA from 1 species